UGGGGAAUAUUGCACAAUGGGCGCAAGCCUGAUGCAGCCAUGCCGCGUGUAUGAAGAAGGCCUUCGGGUUGUAAAGUACUUUCAGCGGGGAGGAAGGCGAUGCGGUUAAUAACCGCGUCGAUUGACGUUACCCGCAGAAGAAGCACCGGCUAACUCCGUGCCAGCAGCCGCGGUAAUACGGAGGGUGCAAGCGUUAAUUGGAAUUACUGGGCGUAAAGCGCACGCAGGCGGUCUGUCAAGUCGGAUGUGAAAUCCCCGGGCUCAACCUGGGAACUGCAUCCGAAACUGGCAGGCUUGAGUCUCGUAGAGGGGGGUAGAAUUCCAGGUGUAGCGGUGAAAUGCGUAGAGAUCUGGAGGAAUACCGGUGGCGAAGGCGGCCCCCUGGACGAAGACUGACGCUCAGGUGCGAAAGCGUGGGGAGCAAACA
rnacentral:rRNA from 1 species